AGUAAAAGUACUCCAGUCACCAGCCCCGAGCGGGGAACACCCGGCACAGGUGGGCCUCCUGGCAAAGGGGCGCUUGGAUCUGCAAAGACGCCUCCAUUUUCCCACUGCCCAGGGCCAGGCGCUACCAGCAUGGACACACCUCGGUGCCAGCUUCAAAGCCAGGCCCUGCCCCCAAGGCUAUUUGCAGAUCACCCAUCACCCCGUGCCAGCACAGCCCUCCCAGUUCUGGGCCAGCGGUAAACCUCGAAGCGUGUCAACUAGAGGGCAGUGAGGAGGCCAGGUGGAAAGGGAGGAGGGCCUCGGGGAAUCAGGGCAGCAGGUGGUGCUGGUGGGGAACAAUCCGUGGUCCGAGAGACUGUGAGCCGCCCAAGUCACUGUCCGGAUGUGAGGCGCGGGCAGCUGCCGAGAAGGACUGCUCACGCCCAGAACAGGAACCUCUCUACUGAACAACUGCAGGCUCUGUCAAUCAAGGUCUAAUACCCAAGUGAGACCCAGCUGGAAAUACCUGCCUCGUAUCUCUGGCAUUGCUGGAGUAGUGACCCUGGCCAUGGACCCCAGAGGGAGAAGAAUGGGCCUGGUGGAGGGAACUAUGAAGGGGCAGGUUGCAGCUCUGCAGCAGGAAGAACAUCCACAUGGUUGCUGCUGUCCUCAGGUGAAAUGAGAGGCCACAUGGACUGUAAGUCCCCCUUCACUGAACUCAGGCAAGCAAGUUCUGCAUGAUGACUAGCCUGGAACAGUCGAGUCCUAGGAGAUGGAUGAGAUGACCUUCAAUGUGCCUUCCAGCCUUAAGGAUUUAGGAAUUUCUU